GCGGCGCUCGCGAAACCCGAAGACUUGCAGGGUAAGAACUGAAGCCACCAAAAGGCUUACUAUACCACACAACACCCAAGCCUUCCUUUGGGGCAUGGGGACAGUGGAUCUAUGGCUCCUCAGGGUGCCAACCAAUUGAAGAAGGAAGCCAGCUCCACUCAACAGCUUCUACAAAGGAAGGGCCACAGGAGAGGGGCUUCAGUGGUUCCAGGCAGCUGCUUCAUUCACAACAGAAUGGCCAUUUUCUCCAGCAUGGCCAACUAUCCCUAGUCUUUUUGUCAUGACAGCCUAGAAGGCAGAAGCUAGGGCCAAGGCGGCUGCUAAGGAAUUCCUACUCCUACUGGGGCCUAAUGUCAGGCUUUCCUUAUAUUGUGGAGUGGGCCCUGGAAGAUAGUUAGAGACCCUUCCUGCUGGGCACCCUGAAGAGGAGCAAGAGGAUCUGGUGAGCAAAAUGAAGCAAAAGUGCAGUGCUGGAGCUGACAGCCCUGUUCCCUACUGCACGCAGUUGGCUCAGGGCUGUCCCCCACUUUGGAGCUUCUUGCCACUCACGGGCUACCCUGCACACACUACUUACUGCCCAGGCCUGUCUGCCACCACAGUACCCUGUGCCUGAGACCUUUCCUGGCCUCUGCUGGAUCCCAGGCCUAGUAUCAUUCCUAGGGACUCCAGAGGCAAGUCCAGGCUAAUAUGCUCUGGGAAAACAAUGUACAAUGUACAUGUUUGCCUUUUGACGUAGAUAAAUGAUACCUGGAUCCCAGGUCUGGCUCUGGGGCAGGGGAGCUUCAGGCCUGGCUAUGGCAGAACACUGAAGGAGGUACUUUGGGUUUUCACAACCUCUUAAAUCAUCUCAGAGAGAGAGUGAACAACUUACUUUCACAUGCACAAGCUGCCGCUGGCUCUGUCACAAGAAGAUGGACUACAAGUAAUAAAAUCAAGAUGAAGUUCUGUGUACAUCUUUCCAGCUUACAAGAAUUGUAGAAAGUUGAAGAUGAAAGGGAUAUUAAAGAGCAUCUCAUUCUACCUCCUCAUUUUGCAGCUGUAAGAACCGAGGCCCAGGGAGGGGGACUGGGGAAGCCACCAUCACACAGCUGCUCCGUGGCAGGAGUUGUGCUAACUUUCUGUGGCUGUUGCCAUUACACCCAGCAUCUUUUGACUUUUGAAAACAGCGAAGGAGAAAUCAGUCCUCCCAGCAUCUUCACCUCCCACGACGUUUAUUGUUUCCAGCUGUUAAAAAUUGGCCCUUUAAAAAUGGGUCGUCUUGCCAGUCAUUGAGGGUCACCGCGGUGGGGAGUGCUGAUUUAGAGGGCGGCAGAACAGGGAGGUGAUUGGAGGCAUAAUUGCCAGUCUCCUCCUUGGCACCUGGGGAUUUCUGUCAUUCAAGUCUCAGGGUGUGUGCCCUCAGCAAAUACUAACCCACAGAGUCAAUUGCUAACUGCAGUCAUCUGUGCAUUUGCCCUCUGGGGAUGGAAAGCCAUAAGAAAUGCCAUUUCCUAAUCUAGUUGGCCUUGGAUGAGAAGAUGUUUUUGCCUAAUGGAAGCCUUUGGAGAGUGAAUAAUGUGAAUAAUGUGUAUUUAGGACCUACAGUGCUCCCCAGGAUGCUGUAAGGGACCUGGUUAUAAAGAAAAAAACCUCACUGAUGGUCUUGGCUUUGUCCUUGUCUGAGUUAAGUCCUUUUGGUUGGAAGUAAUCAACUUGAGCUGACGUAAGCAUUAAGGGACAUAGAAGAGUAUAGCAGUAUCUCAUGAAGUCCAAGGGCAGAUGGCCUCAAGGUAGCCCGAGAAGCUGCUAGGAACCUAGACAGUCCACCUUCUCCAGCUUUCUUCUCUGCUUCGUGUCUCCCUCUGCAAUCCACUUUCUUCUCUGUGAGUAGCUGGGCAGAGGAUAAUCCCUCAACAACUAUCACAUCUACAUCUUCUCUCCUAAAGAGAUUAGCCAAAGGUGAGUGGCUGUCCUCAGUCCAAUACCAGAUUCCUGGGAGAGGGAAUUUGGUUGUCCCAGCCUGGGUCAGGUGCACAGCUUGAUCCAAUCAGGUGUGCCCAGGAGAGGGUGCCCUGAGACAGGCACAUCUGGGGACACUCAUCCUCAUGAAUGACCGGACAGUUCUCCAGGAAAGAAGAGAGAAGAGUGGAGGUCAGACAUUUCAAAUGUAUAUUAUAGGCAUCAAAUUAGUUACUGAUACAGAAAAAUGGCAAUGUCUAAGUAGGGGGCUUGAGAAACAGUUCAAACACUGUAUAGAUUUUGAUUAUUUGCUUAACUUCCAGGAUGAUAAAUUGUCUAUUAUGGAGCUGUAUUUUUUUUUUGGAGACAGAGUCUUGCUGUUUGGCUGGAGGAGUGUACAGUGGAGUUUUCCAGAAGGCAUAUGCCAUGUGCAUCACCACAGCUUAAAUGCAGAAACAGACAUGAGGAUCUAGCUGUGUCCUACUAAGCCAGACAUUCAGGACAUCUAAAAGUGUAAAACAAUGCCACUCUUCUCACUAACUUUUUUGUUUUGGAAAAUAUAUCUUUCAUAAAAUAUUGAUUAUGUUGAUAUAUUACGGGUUUGUUGUUAUUAUUUUAAAUGAAUUAAUAAAUAAUUUUCUGAUUUAAUUUCUAUUACUGUAAAUAUUGAUGGAUAUAUCCUGUAUAAGCAAAAACUCUCUGGGGUUCUCAACUAUUUUUAAGAGUGUAAAGGGGUCAUUAGAGAACUGCUCAAGAAUGUUAGUAUUAUUUAAAGAGCUUCUGCACAGAAAAACUAUCAACAGAGUAAACAAACAAACUACAGAAUGGGAGAAAAUCUUCACAAGCUGUGCAUCUGACAGGGGCUAACAUCCAGACUCUAUAGGGAACUUAAACAUUUCAAUGAGUAAACAAUAAUUAACCCCAUUAAAAAGUGGGCAAAGGACAUGAACAGACACUUCUCAAAAGAAGACAUACAAGCAGCCAACAGACAUGAAAAAAUGUUCCACAUCACUACUCAGAGAAAUGCAAAUUUAAACCACAGGGAGAUACCAUCUCACUCUAGUCAGAAUGGCUAUUAUUAAAAAGUCAAAAAAAUAAUAACAGAUGCUGUUGAGGCUGUAGAGAAAAUGUAAUGCUUAUACAUUGUUGAUGGGAACAUAAAUUAGUCCAGCCACUGUGGAAAGCAGUUUGGAGAUGCCUCAGAGAACUUAGAACUACCAUUUGACCCAGCAGUCCCAUUACUUGGUACAUACCCAAAAGAAAACAAAUGUUUCCACCAAAAAGACGCGUGUGCUCAUAUGUUCACUGCAGCACUAUUCACAAUAGCAAAGACAUGGAAUCAAUCUAGGGGUCCAUCAGUGGUGGGUUAGAUAAAGACCAUGUGGUACACAUACACCAUGAAAUACUGCCCAGCCAUAAAAAAGAACGAAAUCAUGUCCUUUGCAGCAACAUGGAUGCAGCUGGAAGCUGUUAGCCCAAGUGAAUUAAUGCAGGAACAGAAAACCAAAUCCUGCAUUUUCUCACUUAUAAGUGUGAGCUAAACAUUGAGUACACGUGGACGUAAAGAUGGAAACAGCAGACACUGGAGACUACCAGAGGA
rnacentral:lncRNA from 1 species